CGUGUAGGCGGCUGGGUAAGUUGGACGUGAAAGCUCCUGGCUCAACUAGGAGAGGUCGUUCAAAACUGCCUGGCUAGAGGGCGACAGAGGGAGGUGGAAUUCCCGGUGUAGUGGUGAAAUGCGUAGAUAUCGGGAGGAACACCAGUGGCGAAGGCGGCCUCCUGGGUCGCACCUGACGCUCAGACGCGAAAGCUAGGGGAGCGAACG
rnacentral:rRNA from 1 species